rnacentral:rRNA from 1 species
UACGUAGGGGGCAAGCGUUGUCCGGAUUUAUUGGGCGUAAAGAGCGUGUAGGCGGCCAGGUAGGUCAGCUGUGAAAACUCGAGGCUCAACCUCGAGAUGUCGCCGGAAACCAGUCGGCUAGAGUCCGGAAGAGGAGAGUGGAAUUCCUGGUGUAGCGGUGAAGUGCGCAGAUAUCAGGAAGAACACCUAUGGCGAAAGCAGCUCUCUGGGACGGUACUGACGCUGAGACGCGAAAGCGUGGGGAGCGAACAGG